rnacentral:rRNA from 1 species
GAUGAACGCUGGCGGCGUGCCUAAUACAUGCAAGUCGAGCGAACAGACGAGGAGCUUGCUCCUCUGACGUUAGCGGCGGACGGGUGAGUAACACGUGGAUAACCUACCUAUAAGACUGGGAUAACUUCGGGACACCGGAGCUAAUACCGGAUAAUAUAUUGAACCGCAUGGUUCAAUAGUGAAAGACGGUUUUGCUGUCACUUAUAGAUGGAUCCGCGCCGCAUUAGCUAGUUGGUAAGGUAACGGCUUACCAAGGCAACGAUGCGUAGCCGACCUGAGAGGGUGAUCGGCCACACUGGAACUGAGACACGGUCCAUACUCCUACGGGAGGCAGCAGUAGGGAAUCUUCCGCAAUGGGCGAAAGCCUGACGGAGCAACGCCGCGUGAGUGAUGAAGGUCUUCGGAUCGUAAAACUCUGUUAUGAGGGAAGAACAAAUGUGUAAGUAACUAUGCACGUCUUGACGGUACCUAAUCAGAAAGCCACGGCUAACUACGUG